AAAAAGAUAAACCCUAAUUUCCGUGCCCAACGUUUGAUCAUUCAUCUUAUUUGAAAAAAUUAUAAAAAAAAUUAAAAAGAUAAGUUACGCAUAAAAUAUUAAUCAUGUUUUAUCAUCUAACAACAAUGAAAAUACGAAUUAUAAAAAAAAUCAUAUAAGACGGACAGUCAAAGUUGGACACGGAAAUAUAGGGUUUGCCUUUUU
rfam:Oryza sativa Japonica Group DNA, chromosome 8, cultivar: Nipponbare, complete sequence.